rnacentral:tRNA from 1 species
GGAGGGUUCGCCUAAUGGUAUGGCACUGGUUUCGAAAACCAGCAGGUGAAAGCCUUUAGAGGUUCGAGUCCUCUACCCUCCG